AUGAAGGUGUCAUGUAUAGCUUUGAUGUUCAUUUGUGUCGCACAGGUACUGGGUGCCCGAACGGAUUGCCGUCAGUGUAAAGCUGGGCAUUAUGCUAAAAGACAUUGUAACGAAUUUCAUGACACGAUAUGUGCCCAGUGUCCAGAGGGCACAUAUACCCCCAAAUCUAACACACGGGAACUGUGUUUCUCCUGCUCAACGUGUAGAAAGGGCUUCUUUGAGAUCAAAUCGUGCACAUUUAGACAAGAUACUGUGUGUGGAUCUUGUAGUCAAAAAGAGUAUAGUGAUUUAAGUAGUUAUAGGAUAGACUGUGUUCAUGAUAGAAAGGAGAUUCAAAAUGAACAACCGCGGGAAAGCACCACCGAGGAGUCCAUUGACCUAGGAUCAGGGGACGGGGAACUUAUAAUAAACCGUGACGGAGUCAAACCAACAGUCAUUGAUGACGUCUUCAUAGAAAAGGAGUCGCAUCACGUGACUAGUUUACCUCACGCUCAGAACGAGACUCUGGAUACGGAAGGAAGCGGUGAAGGUUUCCCGAUUAGUGUGUCUCCUGAAGAAGAAUAUGAACCAACUGAUCAAAAUGUUACAUUCACCACAUCUACAGAAUCAAUGACAACAACAGAAGAACCACUUAUUGUAACGCAAUCUCCUACCUCUCUGCCUGAAAAUCUAAACACUUCAGCUUAUAUAACGACAUCUAAAACUGACUCUAGUUCGAAUGAUACUGGGUAUGCAAUUACGUCUGAGCACACUCCAUUAGCAUCAUCAACAUCAGAAGCAAUUUCAACAUCUACAUCAACAUCAACGUCUGAACCAACUUCAUUUUCUACAACGGUGAAAGCAACAGAACCAUUGGAAACACCCAAAACGCCAACACCUGAACCAACGUCUGAACCAAGUACACCAACACCUCAAACAACAACAUCUACGACAACAACAACAACAACAACAACAACAAUGUCAACGACAUCAUCUACAACAGAACCCGAGAUAACCACACCAACUGUCCAAACAACGCCGGAACCGACAACUACUACUACAAAGACAAAACCUCUCCACUAUACGGACAAAGACGGAAUGGUCAUCAUUGACUUGAGGGGCUCUACAAUUAUUGAUCUGAGAACUACACCCACACCGAGACCCAAGUACAAGGUCACCACUGUAAAAACGAUAGGUUUGGACUCAGGGGACAACGGCAUAGUCAUUGAUCUAGGAAAACAAGAGGAGGACUUCAUAGACUUGCAAGAUAACUCUUUAAAAGAUACUGCGACCAAAGAUAAGUCUCCUUUGAAAGCAGGUGCAUUGGGCUCAAAGAAAAUGAUUCCGACUCUUGUUUAUGGUCAUAACCUCAACUAUAACUAUAAUACAUUGAUGGAUGUAUGUCAAGUGGUUCGAAUUAAUUUGACAGGAUGACGACGAUGGGGUGAAGAUUGGAAUUGUCGUCGCUGUUGUUAUCGUCGCCGCCAUCAUCUUCUUUGUCGUCGGGUUUCUCGUCAGUAGAUACUGUAGGAAGAAGCGGUCAGGGUCAUUCAAGGUCAAAAACGAUAUUGAGAACGGUUCGGCAAAGGGUAGCACACCAAAUGUUUUAGACUACAAAGAUGGAGGGAUAUAUGACGAGAUUGAAAAAGAUUCGGCUACCCCGACCAAAAACGGAAAACCUAAUGGAACAGCACAUUCAACUGAAGAUGUUUAUGCAGUGCCAGACAAACGCAAGAGUAACCCCCCGGAAUCUCCAAAGCUCGAGGAACAGUUGGACAAAAUCAAAUUCAUAGAUGACACAGAGGAGGAAACUGAAGCCAAGGAGGAUGACAAACUUUUGGAAGACUCUGAUGAAAAGUACUCCAGUUUCGCGUCUAUUCCGAAUGGAUCUGUCAAACAGAACGGUGACGUCACAUCAAACGAUUACGUCUCAGAAUCUAGUCCAAUCCUAAACUCCCGAGACACCCCAGAGAUCAAAGAACCCUCUGACGAAGAAGCCAGCGGCAAGGAGAGCGAAGAUGCCGAAGAGUCGCCAUUACUGGAAAAAGCAGAGGGGGGAGAAAAACAGGCGGAAACCAGCAGUUGAGAACAUGCUUUCUGCUGAACAAUCGCUCCAUCGCAUGUCUGUUCUCAAUAGAUAGGCAGGUUAUAAUCACGUGAUGGCAUUUUUUAAGAAGAAAAAUCAGAAACGUACCACGAAGCCUGCAGACAAGACGCCUACAGCCGCCGAGUUUUGGAAUGAGCGAUGUGCCUUAGCCCGUCAUAGAAGAUAACAAUAGUCCUUUAUCAGAUUCAAAACAUCCUGGUCAAAGACUCUUUGCAAGUACAAUAUGUCAACCUGAGAAAUCGCUGCUGUUCCAAACAUAAUUUUCAACCAUUUUUCUCUCCUCUCAUUAUUUAAACAUCCCUUCAAUCUUAACCAUUUUCUCUAAGUACAACAAAUAUUUUGCUGUAAAAGUUAUUGUUAGAUUAGGGGAUUUAUUUGUUGUAAUUUUUGUAAUCGCUUUUUGACUUGUUAAAAAAUUGUGCAAUGAACAUUCAUAGUAUUGAUAAUAAUGUUUUUAUACGUUAGGCUCUUUGGAAUUAGUGCUUUUUUUUUUAAUAUAAUCAUUAUUAUUUGUUUUGUUUUUGUUGAUUUGUUUGUUGGGUUGUUCACUAUGGCUACUAGUAUAAGAUGACUAACACUGUGCGUUUUACCCCUAUGUAUCAGCAUUGUUGUCACUUUUUUUGCAGCUAUAAACAUAUUAAUUAUUUUAAUUAUUAUUUAUUUCCGAUGUCCCUUCUUUCUGUUCAUCUUUUCUUCUGUUCGUUGACCCGUUUCGUUCUCUGCUGUGGUCGUUUGAUAUGGGUAUAAAUUGUGCUAAAUUUGUCUAUCUUGCUGUACAUAUUUUUUCAUUACCUUAAUUUAGAAGAUGUUCAUUUACUCGGAGUCCCUUCAUCAUAUAGACAUAUUUUCUAAGUUCUUGUAUAAUUAUAAAAGCAUCCCACCAUGUCUUUACAUGUACAUGUAACCAAAAACAAACUGACUACCAAAUAUACCACACACAUCCAGUUAGUGUAUAACUAGUCUUGCCAGUGUUAGGGAAUAUUGCGUCAUAAUACAGUCAUAAUUUAUUUACAUGUUUCAUCCAAUGAAUGUGUCUCGCAUGUUGUCCUAUAACCAGAGUUAUUAAAUAUUGAAGGAAAACGGAUCAUGCAUUGUCUCUGUGUCUCUAUUUCCUGUUACUGUGUUCCGUUGUUUUCUUACUUAGAUUUGCAAGCACCUGCACACUUGGAGGUGAAAUAUUGCUUUUAUUUGUCUUAAAAUGUUGAUAAUGUAAUCUUUUUUUUUAUUUUAAGAUAUUGUGUCAAGAAAUAAAGAAUUCAAAUGUC
rnacentral:misc_RNA from 1 species